ACUUUAGAUCCAUAACUUACAGGCUUUCUGUCAUGGGUAAAAGGGCUGCUCUUCACUUUUUUCUGUCCCGCGCUUCAAGUGCCUGUCCCACCUCCCCAGAAUGGAAGACAAAUGAAGAUUCCUUUCAGAGAAAAGGUGCCACUACAGAAAGCUCUUGCUGCACGUGUAAUGCCCAGGCUGGCUGGCAGAUUUUACCAGAAAGCCAAAGCUUCCAUUAUUUCCAUGUGGGAAAUAAGGGCUUAUUUUGGCUUUUUUCAGCCCUGUGAUGAAAUGGCCAGCUCACUGCUGAAAUUCCAUAGGAAUGAAGAUUUCUCCCAGUGAAAAGGUACCAGAACAGAAAAGUCUUGCUGCCCGCAGAGUGCCCAGACUGGCCCACCAACUGCACCAAAAAGCCAAGGUUUCCAGGCUAUUUUUGCUCGAAUAAGGACUGUUGUUUUCUUUUUGCAGUCCUGUGCUCAAACUGCCAGCCCAACUUACAAAAUUGCAAAGAGACGAAGAUUCCUUCCAGACCAAGGUGCCAGGAUAGAAAGCUCUUGCUGCCCACCUAGUGCCCAGGCUGGCCCACAACUUGCACCUCAAAGCUAAAGGUUCCAUGCUUUCUUUGCAGAGGAUAAAGGCUGUUGUUUGCUUUUUUCAGCCCUGUGCUGCAACUGCCAUCCCAACUGCCAAAAUUGCAUAAGGUCGAAGAUUACUCCCAAGAACAAAGGUCCCCUCCCAGAAAGCUUUUGCUGUCCACAUAGUGCCGAGAGUUGUGCACCAACUGCACACUAGAGAUGGAGGGUCAGGGCUUUCUUUCCUGAGUGGAAGGGCAAUCAUUAGGGUUAUAGUUAGGGUUAGGUCUAGGGUCAGGAUUAGGUUUACAGUUAGAGUUUUGAAUUCAGGUUAAGUUUAGGGUGAAGUUUAGAGUUAGUUAUGAUUACGGUCAGGGUUAGAGUUAGGGAUAGGAUUAGGUUUAGAGUUAGUUUGUUUCAAAGUUAGUAAGGAUUAGGGUUAGGUUUAGAGUUAGGGUUAGGGUUACAGUUAGGGUUUUGUGUUAGGGUUCAUCUUAGGGACACUUAUGGUUAGGGUAAGGAUUGGGGUUUAGGGUUUGGGUUAUGGUUAGGUUUAGGGUUAGGGUUACAGAUAGGGAUACAGUUAGGGAUUGGGUUAGGAUUAGGCUGUCCGAUUGCCAAAAUAUCUAUGCCCUCCAAAGUUAACAUCCAAAGGAAAACUGGACCUUUCUGUAUCCUUCAGAUUUGUGAUACAUAACUUACCUGCGUACUGUCUUCCAUAAAUACUGCUAAUUUCUAACGCUCUGGUGUAUCUACUGUUCUUCUGUGCUAGUUUCCUCUGAUCGGGCAAUGCAUUUUUUUCUCUCAGAAACUAAACACCAUUAUUCUUGGGAAAAUGAACUAAAAAUAAAAAUAAGGCUUUGAGAUAUUAAUAUUCAUUCCAACAACAACACUUAACCACAUGACAAUGCUCACAGCUCUUUUCAGCCAUCUCUCUCUGCAGGAAUACUGUGCAAAUGAAGAGUAGUUAAUCCAGUUGAAGAGACCUCAGCACUGCAAGAGGAUUUUGGAUUUCAGAAAGAACAGGAAGCAGCUCCAAAGCAUCUCAGGCUUGGCAGGCCCUUAAGUUAACUGUGGAAACUGCACCAUGAAUUUGGUCUUCAGGUGACAGGUAAACCAAGCUGGCCUUGGCAUCAGCAGGCAACAGGGAGAUGAAAAAGACCUAAAGAAGGGUUAGGUUAAAGGCAUCCUCAUGAGUCCAAGGCUUCAAUCGCCCGCUCUUGACACAGAGAAGAAAACAGCUUGCAGCAGACCUUGGGAAAUGAGCCCUGGCGGCCAGCAAGUGUAGAUCAGAGCCAGUGCAAGGACACGUGUCUCUCCAGUGAGCAGAAUGGGAGCCCAGGUAAAGAAACAGCUUGCUGCAAUUGCUUUGCCCAGCCAAAGCAGCAAAUCUGACUGCAGAUCAGAGAGGGGAUCUGGGAUGCCACCAGAAGCAGAUCAAGGCUGCCCCUAAAGCAGCAAGUUAGGAGCUGUCAGCCACAGCAACAGCCUUUUGAGUCAAACAGCUGACUGCUCUUGCACAGCAGCUUCUGUUCUUGCAUGAUGCUGGUUGUCGCUUCCCUAUUGCUUUGUAGAGAAGAAAGGUCCAUCCUCACAGAACGUGCUCUACUCGGGCAAAGAGGGGAUGGUAGAAAGCAAUAAAGUCAUCAGCUUGUUUUAGGAUAAAACCAAAAAGUGUCAUGAAAAAGCCAAUUGCUCAUCAGUGUUUUGAAAGGUAACUACUCCAUAUGGGUGUGACUUAAAAAAGAGUAAGAAAGAGCAAAAGGUAAGAAAGAAGAGAAGGUAAGAAAAGCCAAAAGGAGAGAUGAGAACUUCAGGGAAAGGGCAUCUCUUCAGUUUGUUGCGAGAAGAAAUCCAAUCAGCUUUCUCCAGACUUUCAAAGCAGCAGGCGCCCGGCCCUCUCCUCUGCGUUCCUCCUGGCCCUCUCUCCAGCACGCUGCCUCACGUCCGACGACGACGACGUCUGCGUGCAGCAGGCAACGGGGGCUUGCCCAGCGGCUUCAGAGCAGGCAGAUGGCCCAACAGCCUGCCGCCCCUUCCACUCAGCCCCCUCCGGCACCGCCGACCAGGAUCCCCCCACUCACAGGCCCAGCCCCGUGUGGCCACUCUGCCCCAGCCCGCAGCAGGACUUCCCCCUCUCCUCCACGCAUCCCUCCCACCCCAGGCAGCGCCCUUCUCCUUCGCCCCACCCCACGCACGCCAGCCCCAGCAACUAAAAGCCUUGGGUCUUCAGGAGGCUUUCUUGCCCCCAAAUCAAGGACUACAGCCUGACCAAAAGAACCACCAGCGCUGCUUGUGGAUCAAACCACUAGUUUUAUUUCAAGAAAGGCAUCUAGAUAUUCUGUUGUCCUUUAGCAGCGGCCCAGCCCCGCAAGACACCUCUUCCAAGAACUCCUCCUUCUAAAAGGGAGGGCAGCAACACACGAACUUCGGGAGAUCCUGAAAAACUAACUUCUACUUCCAAGAAAGGAAGACCCACUCGCUGGCUGUUCCCCAGCUCUGCUUACAGACGUCCCUGGGCUGCCUUCAGCCUCCAGGACAGCUCUAUUGCACACACCCGCACCAAGGGACACAGCUCAGCUGCCUAAGGAACAAGUCCUAGCCCAACCCCCAAAUAUUAUUCGCUUUCAAAACACAA